UGUCCACCUAAAUCUUCACUUGCUUCUCUCGGUUUUUUAUUUUGCUCGGUAGUAUGAAGACACAUAUGUCUACCUAAACUUUUCUACUUCGCUAUUGAGAUUAAUCACAUAUUUUUGUUGUAAAGUAAAGAUGCCUUCCCUAAAAUGAGUUACUUCAGUUCUUAGAAAAUACUUGAGAGAUAGACAUCUUUUUAAGAGUUCUUUCUAUUUCUUAUUGUUUUUUAUCAUUAUAUUAUCAAC
rnacentral:lncRNA from 1 species